AUGAAGUCGGAAUUGCUAGUAAUGGCAGGUCAGCAUACUGCCGUGAAUACGUUCCCGGGCCUUGUACACACCGCCCGUCACACCAUGAGAGUUGGGAAUACCCGAAGCCUGUGAGCUAACGUUAAGAGGCAGCAGUCGAAGGUAGAAUCAAUGAUUGGGGUGAAGUCGUAACAAGGUAGC
rnacentral:rRNA from 1 species